AGGGCAUUCAAUGGAAAAAAACAAGAUCUUUGUGCAUCUAUGGCCUCAAGAGGAGUUCCCUAUGAUCAGUUGACAGAGGAAAAGAAGUCAGGCCAGAUGGUUCUGCAAGGCAUACAGACGUCGCUCAAAAACAGACAGCUGCAACACUACAGCCCUUCUCUGUGACACCCCUGAAGGAGAGUGGCAAAGGGAAAUUCUCCCAGUGGGCAGAACUUCAAGCACUGCAUCUGGUUGUCCACUUCGCUUCAAAGGAGAAAUGGCCAGAUACAGGAUUAUAUACCCUCUUGAGGUUGGGGGUGGGGGUGGGGGUGGAGAGUCUCUCUUCUCAAACUUCUGUACUAUUGGGCUAUAACUAAAAUUGACAAUAAGUUCAUAAAAUAUUUAUUGAAUAUAAUCAUUUAAUUAAUUUAGCUCAAAUUUCCUUUUAUUUUCUGACUUCAAUGAGUAGUUUUACCACUUUGGUCUAUAACAUUCUUUUAUACAUUUUAAAUGUUAAAUUCUAUUAAUAAUUUAUUAUUGUUUCAGUUUAUUCUAGAAAUCACAGAGGCCUACAGUUUAUAAAUGUUUACUCACUGUACUAGCUUGAUUAUCACAGAGUAAUAAUUCUUAAAAUGGUACCUACAGCAGUACCUGCAAACUUGUUAGAAAUACAGAUUCUUAGGGUCCCUUGCAGACCUACUGAAUCAGCA
rnacentral:lncRNA from 10 species